GUGGGGAAUAUUGCGCAAUGGGGGAAACCCUGACGCAGCGACGCCGUGUGAGGGAAGAAGGCUUUCGGGUCGUAAACCUCUGUCAGAAAGGAAGAACCUCCCAAGUCCGAAUAGGGCUUGGGACUGACGGUACUUUCAAAGGAAGCACCGGCUAACUCCGUGCCAGCAGCCGCGGUAAUACGGAGGGUGCAAGCGUUAAUCGGAAUCACUGGGCGUAAAGCGCGCGUAGGCCGCUUUGUAAGUCGGACGUGAAAGCCCUCGGCUCAACCGGGGAACUGCGUUCGAUACUGCGAGGCUUGAGUCCUGGAGAGGGUGGCGGAAUUCCGGGUGUAGGAGUGAAAUCCGUAGAUAUCCGGAGGAACACCGGUGGCGAAGGCGGCCACCUGGACAGGUACUGACGCUGAGGCGCGAAAGCGUGGGGAACAAACAGGAUUAGAAACCCCAGUAGUCC
rnacentral:rRNA from 1 species